rnacentral:rRNA from 1 species
CACGUAGGGCGCAAGCGUUGUCCGGAAUUAUUGGGCGUAAAGAGCUCGUAGGCGGUCUGUCGCGUCGGCUGUGAAAUCCCGGAGCUCAACUCCGGGUCUGCAGUCGAUACGGGCAAACUGGAGUACUGCAGGGGAGACUGGAAUUCCUGGUGUAGCGGUGAAAUGCGCAGAUAUCAGGAGGAACACCGGUGGCGAAAGCGGCUCUCUGGCCCGAUACUGACGCUCAUGUACGAAAGCGUGGGAAGCAAACAGG